CGAACGGAAAGGCCCUGCUUGCAGGGUACUCGAGUGGCGAACGGGUGAGUAACACGUGGGUGAUCUGCCCUGCACUUCGGGAUAAGCUUGGGAAACUGGGUCUAAUACCGGAUAGGACCGCACUUUAGUGUGUGUGGUGGAAAGUUUUUUCGGUGUAGGAUGAGCUCGCGGCCUAUCAGCUUGUUGGUGGGGUAAUGGCCUACCAAGGCGGCGACGGGUAGCCGGCCUGAGAGGGUGUACGGCCACAUUGGGACUGAGAUACGGCCCAGACUCCUACGGGAGGCAGCAGUGGGGAAUAUUGCACAAUGGGCGCAAGCCUGAUGCAGCGACGCCGCGUGGGGGAUGAAGGCCUUCGGGUUGUAAACUCCUUUCGCUAGGGACGAAGCUUUUUGUGACGGUACCUAGAUAAGAAGCACCGGCUAACUACGUGCCAGCAGCCGCGGUAAUACGUAGGGUGCGAGCGUUGUCCGGAAUUACUGGGCGUAAGGGCUCGUAGGUGGUUUGUCGCGUCGUCUGUGAAAUUCUGGGGCUUAACUCCGGGCGUGCAGGCGAUACGGGCAUAACUUGAGUGCUGUAGGGGUAACUGGAAUUCCUGGUGUAGCGGUGAAAUGCGCAGAUAUCAGGAGGAACACCGAUGGCGAAGGCAGGUUACUGGGCAGUUACUGACGCUGAGGAGCGAAA
rnacentral:rRNA from 1 species